ACCCGGGUGGCUCGGUCGGUUGAGCAUCUGAUUUUAGCUCAGGUCAUGAUCUCUCGGUUUGUGGGUUCGAGUCCCCCAUCGGGCU
rnacentral:tRNA from 1 species